rnacentral:tRNA from 1 species
GCUCCCAUCGUCUAACGGUUAGGACACAAGCUUUUCAAGCUUGGUAUACGGGUUCGAUUCCCGUUGGGAGUACUA